rnacentral:misc_RNA from 1 species
AAAAUGCGAUAAGUAAUGCAUCGAAUCUUUGAACGCAUCUUGCGCUCCUUGGUAUUCUGAGGAGCAUGCCUGUUUGAGUGUCAUUAAAUUCUCAACCACACCUGCCUGGUGUGGCUUGGAUUUGGGUUGUUGCAGGCUUGUAGUCUGCUCCCCUGAAAUUAAUUAGCGGUACCUUGGUGGAACUGUCUACAGGUGUGAUAAUUAUCUACAUCCUAGACAUCUGCUGGAAUGCUGCUUUCUAAAACCUUACUUGUAUUUGACAAUCUUGACCUCAAAUCAGGUAGGACUACCCGCUGAACUUAA